rnacentral:rRNA from 1 species
CCUUCGGCCGAUCGCCUUGAGUUGAUCAUGGCUCAGGACGAACGCUGGCGGCGUGCCUAAUACAUGCAAGUCGAACGAGACGUUCUUUGGUGGUAACACCGUUGAACGUCUAGUGGCGAACGGGUGAGUAACACGUGAGGAACCUGCCCUGAAGACGGGGAUAACAGAAGGAAACUUCUGCUAAUACCCGAUACCCCCUCCGGAUCGCAUGGUCCGGAGAGGAAAUGGAUUCCGCUUCAGGAGGGUCUCGCGGCCUAUCAGCUUGUUGGUGGGGUAAUGGCCUACCAAGGCUUGGACGGGUAGCUGGUCUGAGAGGACGAUCAGCCACACUGGGACUGAGACACGGCCCAGACUCCUACGGGAGGCAGCAGUAAGGAAUAUUGCGCAAUGGGCGAAAGCCUGACGCAGCAACGCCGCGUGCGGGAUGAAGGCCCUCGGGUUGUAAACCGCUUUCAGUAGGGAAGAAAAUGACGGUACCUACAGAAGAAGCCCCGGCCAACUACGUGCCAGCAGCCGCGGUAACACGUAGGGGGCGAGCGUUGUCCGGAUUUAUUGGGCGUAAAGAGCUCGUAGGCGGUUUCGUAAGUCGGAUGUGAAAACUCCAGGCUCAACUUGGAGACGCCAUUCGAUACUGCGAUGACUUGAGUCCGGUAGGGGAGUGUGGAAUUCCUGGUGUAGCGGUGAAAUGCGCAGAUAUCAGGAGGAACACCGGCGGCGAAGGCGGCACUCUGGGGCGGUACUGACGCUGANGAGCGAAAGCGUGGGGUAGCAAC